UUAUUUAAAAUUUUUAGCAUCUAUGUCAUCCUCAUCCUCAUCAGAAUACAACUUGUGAUUUGUUUCAGCAGGUGUGAUUGCAGACUUGCAAUUUAUUAUCUCAAAUCUCUUCAGUAGCUCAAGUUCAUACUUUGGCUAAUGCAAAAUUAUAAACCUUAUCAGAGUAUUGAAUAUGCAUCCUUAGAAAAUAUACCAUAUUUUCUAGACCAGUCAUCACAAACUCAUUCAUCAAC
rnacentral:lncRNA from 1 species